rnacentral:rRNA from 1 species
UACGGGGGGGGCAAGCGUUGUUCGGAAUUACUGGGCGUAAAGGGCUCGUAGGCGGCCAACUAAGUCAUACGUGAAAUCCCCCGGCUUAACCGGGGAACUGCGUCAUACUGGAUGGCUUGAGUUCGGGAGAGGGAUGCGGAAUUCCAGGUGUAGCGGAUGAAAUGCGUAGAUAUCUGGAGGAACACCGGUGGCGAAGGCGGCAUCC